AAAAAACCAAUGCAAUUUUACAGCGGGUAUAUGAUCAAACGAAGUAAAACUUGAAACAUAAAAAGCAGGCUGACGAAGCUGCGCAUCCUGGCCAUUUCUGCAGUAUCGUGCCAUACGAAGAGUUUAAGCAGGGAUACUGCGUCUAAACACCUUGAUUCAAGCAUCUGCAGAUGCGACUGUGGGGCGGUCGAAGAUGAAAUGCACGUUGAGAGAGGUGAUCCAAUCCACACUUGCAGCGUUGAGAGAGGUGAUCCAAUCCACACUUGGAUCACCAUCCACACUUGCAGCGCGCCAGAGAUCUUCCAUGCCAUAAAUACCAGGGGCUUUCACAGCUAUGAAGCACAACCCAACAAGCAGGACAUGCCUCGUGAAACGAUGUCUACGUAUGAUAUUGAGCCAAAAGAUGUUAACAUGUGCGCAUAACAAUAGGCUCAUUCAAAAAAAGCCCGAAGCCCGAGAAUUAACAACAAGCAGGCAGAGCAAACACGUCCUUGGAAGGAGUAGCUGAGAGAGGUGAUCCAAUGGACCACCAUCCACAAUGGCAGCGAAGCAGAGACCUUCAAUGCCAUAAAUACCAGGGGCUUUCGCAGCUAUGAAGUACAACCCAAUAAGCAGGACAUGCCUCGUAACACGAUGUCGACCUAUGAUGUUGAGCCAGUAAUGUUAGCACGUGCGCAUAGUAGAAAAAUUAUUCAUAAAGUUUCCGACAUUUAACCUACUAAUAUUUUAUAAGGACGCAUACCACGCGACUGCCUUUGGAAGCGUCCCUCAAUGUCGUGCAGUUGGUUCCGGAGGAGGCGCGGACGCCAUCCAUACGUCUUCGUGUCUAGACCGUCCUCGUCAAUUUUUGCAGAUUGUUUUAUCGCAAUUUUACUGAUCAGCAGACGCCUGUCAGAAGCAU
rnacentral:lncRNA from 1 species